rnacentral:rRNA from 1 species
GUGUCAGCCGCCGCGGUAAUACGGAGGGGGCAAACGUUGUUCGGAUUUAUUGGGUGUAAAGGGUAUGUAGGCGGGCUUGUAAGUCGGAUGUGAAAUACUAUAGCUUAACUAUAGAACUGCAUUCGAAACUGCUUGUCUUGAGUUUGGGAGAGGAGAGUGGAAUUCUCGGUGUAAGGGUGAAAUCUGUAGAUAUCGAGAGGAACACCAGUGGCGAAAGCGACUCUCUGGACCAAAACUGACGCUGAAAUACGAAAGCUAGGGGAGCAAACAGGAUUAGAUACCCUGGUAGUCCUAGCCGUAAACGAUGAUCACUUGGUGCUGGGUCCUUAGGGCUCAGUGCCGAAGUUAACACAUUAAGUGAUCCACCUGGGGACUACGGCCGCAAGGUUGAA